rnacentral:rRNA from 1 species
AGCGAACGCUGGCGGCAGGCUUAACACAUGCAAGUCGAGCGGAUGUAGCAAUACAUCAGCGGCAGACGGGUGAGUAACACGUGGGAACGUACCUUUUGGUUCGGAACAACACAGGGAAACUUGUGCUAAUACCGGAUAAGCCCUUACGGGGAAAGAUUUAUCGCCGAAAGAUCGGCCCGCGUCUGAUUAGCUAGUUGGUGAGGUAAUGGCUCACCAAGGCGACGAUCAGUAGCUGGUCUGAGAGGAUGAUCAGCCACAUUGGGACUGAGACACGGCCCAAACUCCUACGGGAGGCAGC